rnacentral:lncRNA from 7 species
AUUUUCAGCUCCGUCGCCGUUGUGAAAGCAAAUCAGUGCAGUAUGAAGGCUGUAUCACAACUCCAGCUUGGACUUAGUCCUUUUCACUCCAUCUACUGGACUACCAGAUUUACCUGUGCCUAGACAUGACCUAGGAUAUGUACUGACUGAAGUGAGGAGGAAGCUGAGUCUGCAGGAGUAACUGCUGCGAAGACCCAUGUAGGGCAGCCCAAAAGUCUACACCUAUAACAUGGGAGAAGAGGUCAACUCAACUUGGAUAUCUCGUGUUAAAGGUCUUGUGAUAGAGAAGAUCCUCCCUGUACACAUAACAUGUUUGGAACCCUCACAACAGGCUCCUGGAAGGGUGCCCUGUGCCACCAGUAGCACUAACAAGAUCUUUGUGUUAGCACACACAAGUUACAAUAGUGACAUACUAGAAGUUUCAUUUCCACAGUUGUUUCCUUUGAAAACACAUUCCUCAGUGUCAAACUACCCAAAUGUCUCUGCUUUUCAGUUCAAGGAUAAGUAUAUCCAUUAAAAUGAAGAAAAACACGAAAAUGAGAAAGUCAACAACACAAAAGAGCUAUGGAGACCUGCCACCACCCUGGUAAAUCUGCAAACUUGGAACAUAUUUCAGGAGCUUAAGGACAAGUUUGACCAGAAGCAAUGCACAAAGUUUCAGACUUCCUAAAUUCUCCUUUCCUCCAGCACCUGAACAAUUGCACUGCUGAUGUCAGGGAACAAAAGAUGGUCCCCUAUUUCCCAGCAGAACAAAUUAAUCUUUCCUCCAGCUGAAAAAAAAAAAAAGAAAGAAAAAAAAAAAAGAACUUUUUGGUGACAUAGUUACAUGUAUCCUGUGAGAAACAGCUCCUGAAACAAAUAAAAAGACCCUAUAACUUUGGGAGAAAAGGGCCCAAUGCUGUGUAAAUUCAGAAGUUCACAUCAGAUCAGUUCUUGGGUUAGCAACAUGGCUAAAAUCUUCAGUCUGAGACCACAUAACACUAGGGAGAGGAGUCUCUUUGAGUACUAGAAGGCGAACAUCUCUGCUGAAAUAUUUGCAUUGCAAUCUCUGGGUCUAUGUUGAGACACAGCCUGAAAAUAUUUGCAGCAGAAUAACUGUGGAUUAUCUUGUCCUGUUCCAGAUGAUUUUCACAGAACUCUUUAAUUUUAUAAUGCUUGUGUCUCUGUGGCUCCCCAAGCACGACCUAUGUUGACUUAAUGAUAGAGUUGCACUACACUGAGAUUUCUAACUGCAUGUAACCUCUAUUUGUGGGGACUCUCCUUCCUACAUGCACAUGAAUAAGACAAUGAUGUGGUUCUGUGCUUUGUAUGGUCAUCUCAUAUUGACGACGCUGGUUAAAAGGAAAAUAUUUUCUUGAAUUAUACGUAUUAGACCAG